rnacentral:rRNA from 1 species
CCUACGGGUGGCAGCAGUGAGGAAUAUUGGUCAAUGGUCGGGAGACUGAACCAGCCAAGCCGCGUGAGGGAUGAAGGUACAGAGUAUCGUAAACCUCUUUUGUCAGGGAACAAAGGCGGGGACGUGUCCUCGGAUGAGUGUACCUGAAGAAAAAGCAUCGGCUAACUCCGUGCCAGCAGCCGCGGUAAUACGGGGGAUGGGAGCUUUAUCCGGUUUUAUGGGGUUAAAGGGGUGCGCAGGCGGUUGGUUAAGUCAGCGGCCAAAGCCGGGGGGUCAACCCCGGCCCGCCGUUGAAACUGGCAGUCUCGAGUUGGAGAGAAGUAUGCGGAAUGCGCGGUGUAGCGGUGAAAUGCAUAGAUAUCGCGCAGAACUCCGAUUGCGAAGGCAGCAUGCCGGCUCCACACUGACGCUGAGGCACGAAAGCGUGGGUAUCGAACAGGAUUAGAUACCCGAGUAGUC